rnacentral:rRNA from 1 species
UACGUAGGGUGCAAGCGUUAAUCGGAAUACUGGGCGUAAAGCGUGCGCAGGCGGUUGUGCAAGACAGAUGUGAAAUCCCCGGGCUUAACCUGGGAACUGCAUUGUGACUGCACGGCUAGAGUGCGGCAGAGGGGAUGGAAUUCCGCGUGUAGCAGUGAAAUGCGUAGAUAUGCGGAGGAACACCGAUGGCGAAGGCAAUCCCCUGGGCCUGCACUGACGCUCAUGCACGAAAGCGUGGGGAGCAAACAGG